UGACAGGGGCCCCGGCCUGGACCACGAGGACUUCCUGGACCACCUGGCUCUCCUGGGGCCCAAGGGGGAAAAGGGAGACAGAGGCGACCAAGUCUACGUUGGGCGAAGGAAGAGAAGUGUCGCCAUCAAGCCAUAGGCUGGCCUUGGCUGAGCAGCCCGGGGCCAGUGCUUGCAAUGUUUAUGGGCCCAAAUGUCAGAUUCCUCUCCAGAAGAGUUAACAGAUACGUUAUCCUAAACUGGACUGCAGCAAAUGGGACAAGAGGGGCAGUGGGCAAGGAAGGAAGAGGAGGGAAAAGAUGCACCUGAUGCUGGGGAGACAGCUUCCUCCCACCACCGUGACAUCGCCCUCUCCUCACUUAGGAAGGCUGUGGUUUAUAAGCACUUCUCACUGUCUAAAACAUCUGUAUGUGGUCUGUAAGAUGAAAAGUCAUUUCAAGUGUAAAAUUUCCAAUUAAAAUUUUUUUCUUUUUUAAUAUCAUGUUUAAUGUGAACAAUGGGAACAAAGACAUGCUAGCUUAACUGGGUCUGAUACUUUUAUUACAUACAUGAGAAAAGAAAACCAGUUAUAUUUUGG
rnacentral:lncRNA from 1 species